rnacentral:rRNA from 2 species
GUUGACCUCGGAUCAGGUAGGGAUACCCGCUGAACUUAAGCAUAUCAAUAAGCGGAGGAAAAGAAACCAACAGGGAUUGCCCCAGUAACGGCG